rnacentral:lncRNA from 1 species
AGUCUGUGGAGCUGAAUCUUCAUUCUUUAUUUGCUGACCUUCCUCGGAGACUUUUGGGUUGGGUUCUGAUUAGAAAAGUCUGGCAUCUAGUAUUCUUUAUUGAUUUAUAGUUGGCUAAUUAUUUCCAUGGCUAAAUGUGAAGUGGACGAAGUCUAAGAAAGCUGAUGUUGGCCUCCCACUCCUGAUCCUCCCUCUAGACACUCUCAUUCUAUCCCAUUGGUGAAAGUCUACCCUUGUUUGGAAAACAAGUUGUAAGGAAGUAACCCACCACCAAACUAUUUGUUAUUAA